GUGGUGUUUGGAUCGUCCCUGCCGGCUGGCUCCGUGCCCGUCCACCGAACGGUCGGCAGGCGAUCCGCGUCGUUCGCGCUGGGUGGUAUGGUUCCCCAGAGGCCGGUUCUUGUGCUGCCUACCCCUUUAGGGGAAGCGGGCCGCUUGAUGCAAGCCUCCAUCCCGCGCCCUCCAACGGGCGCAGGAGGACAACGGAGCACCCCCCGCGUUCCACCGAGCCUCCUCGGUCGCGUGGCGCGCGGGGACGUGCGAUGCUCUCGGACCCAGCGAACGCCGUGGGCGAGGACUCACGUCCCAGUCCCGAUAGAAGCUCCCACAUAAUGCUGACGGCCGCUCCCGUCCCCCGACCGCCCCGGCGGCGCGGGGCCGAGGCGCGGCGUCGCGGAGGAAUGCUACCU
rnacentral:misc_RNA from 1 species